rnacentral:rRNA from 1 species
UACGUAGGGACCAAGCGUUGCCCGGAAUCAUUGGGCGUAAAGAGCGUGUAGGCGGCUUGUUAAGUCUUGCGUGAAAUCUCGGGGCUCAACCCCGAGCGGUCGUGAGAAACUGGCAGGCUAGAGUGCGGGAGAGGAGAGUGGAAUUCCUGGUGUAGCGGUGAAAUGCGCAGAUAUCAGGAAGAACACCAAUGGCGAAGGCAGCACUCUGGGACGUGACUGACGCUGAGACGCGAAAGCGUGGGGAGCAAACAGG